rnacentral:lncRNA from 1 species
CCCAUCCCCGUGGUAGUUCCACUAGACUAGUUAUUUCUUUGUUAUCUCUUAGGCUCAGAAGACCGAGUUCUGUUAGAAUUACUGCUCCAAUGCACAACAGGAGAAGUGGAGGGCACAGACGUGGCUGGCAGAGUGAGAGCAUGCACAAAUUUAUGUCACCGAAUUAAUUCUUCUCUACAGUUUGUCUUUCCUGCAGAAUUUCUUUCAAGGUGGUAAGUGUUGAGCUUUGGUGGAAACUUUGCUAAACGGAACAAGACCGGGAAAGAUAUCGUGUCAUCCUUGGGAAAGGAGAAGUAAUGGGAUCUCCAGAUUGAGAGAGAAUCUUGAAGAAUGGCUGAGCCCCUGCUGCUUCCGGCACGGCUAAUGCCCCAGCCACAGGUUCUUCCCUUCCAUGCUUGCCGGGAGUUUGUACUCUUGGAGCCACCACAUUUCCAGCAGAAGUAAAAUUAACUGCAAGGUCUGGUUGUUACCCCUGAGGAUUCGGAGUUCACAGGUAGAAGAUCUGCAUAACUUAAUGAAUCAGUAUUUUCCAAUGACCUCUAUUUUAAUACAAUGUUAUAAAAUCAUGCACGGGCAAAAGAGUCAAUCAAAAUGGAUUUGAAGUAGACUAAUGUGUUUACCGUAACAGGGUAUGAAAAAUUCAUGGGUAUGUUUUCAGAUUCCAUAUUGCAACUAACCUUUAGAAAUUGCCACUUGUUGAGGGGCACCUGGGUGGCUCAAUGGGUUCAGCAUCUGCCUUCAGCUCAGGUCAUGAUCCCAGGGUCCUGGAAUUGAGCCCCACAUAGGUGGGCUCUCUGCUCAUCAGAGAGUCUGCUUCUCCCUCUGCCUGCUCUUAUGCUCUUUCUCUUCCUCUCCCCAUCUCAAAUGAAUAAAUAAAAUCUUCUUUGAAAAAAAAAAAAAGUUUGCCAAGUUCUGGUUUUAGUAUAGUAUCAAAGAAGAAUAUUCACGAUUUCAUGACAAUCUAUUAAAAUGUAUCUUCCUUUUCCAACUACAUAUCUGUAUGAGGCUAGAUUUUCCUUAUAGAUUUCAACCACAAAAUAUUAAAACAACUGUCUUGUAUUAAUGUGGACAUUAAAGGGAUUUGUAAACAUGUGAUAUAAUGCCAUUCUUACUGCCUUUACCUUCUGUUCUGGAAAAUACAAUUAUUUUUCAUUAAAAUAAAUUAUUUACAUUAACC